rnacentral:sRNA from 1 species
CUGCUGCUGCUGUUGCUGUUGCUGCUGCUGCAGCUGAUGUUGCUGUUGCUGCUGCUGCAGCUGAUGUUGCUGCAGCUGUUGCUGAUGUUGCUGCAGCUG